rnacentral:snRNA from 2 species
GUGCUCGCUUCAGCAGCACAUAUACUAAAAUUGGAACGAUACAGAGAAGAUUAGCAUGGCCCCUGCACAAGGAUGACACAUAAAUUUGUGAAGCGUUCCAUAUUUUU